rnacentral:RNase_P_RNA from 5 species
CCAGUUGGCUGGGCAGCCGCGCUCUAUCAAUGCCGAAAGGCGGUAGGGUGAGGAAAGUCCGGGCUCCACGGAAACACGGUGCCGGAUAACGUCCGGCGAGGGCGACCUCAGGGAAAGUGCCACAGAAAGCAAACCGCCUGUCAUGACAGGUAAGGGUGAAAGGGUGGGGUAAGAGCCCACCGCAUCUCCGGCAACGGAAAUGGCACGGUAAACCCCACCGGGAGCAAGACCGAAUAGGGAUGACGCGGCAGGCCGAAAGGCCUUCCGGCCGGUUUCCAGGCCAGUCAUCCGGGUGGGUUGCGCGAGGCAGCGUGCGAACGCUGUCCCAGAGGAAUGGCUGCCACGUUCCGGUUCACGCCGGAGCCAUACAGAACCCGGCUUACAGGCCAACUGGCGAU